rnacentral:rRNA from 1 species
AUUGAACGCUGGCGGCAGGCCUAACACAUGCAAGUCGAGCGAGCGGCGGACGGGUGAGUAAUGUCUGGGAAACUGCCUGCUGGAGGGGGAUAACUACUGGAAACGGUAGCUAAUACCGCAUACCAUCAGAUGUGCCCAGGUGGGAUUAGAUAGUAGGUGGGGUAACGGCUCACCAAGGCGACGAUCCCUAGAUGGUCUGAGAGGAUGACCAGCAACACUGGAACUGAGACACGGUCCAGACUCCUACGGGAGGCAGCAGUGGGGAAUUGUGCACAAUGGGCGCAAGCCUGAUGCAGCCAGGCCGCGUGUGUGAGGAAGGCCUUCGGGUUGUAAAGCACUUUCAGCGGGGAGGCGUUACCCGCAGAAGAAGCACCGGCUAACUCCGUGCCAGCAGCCGCGGUAAUAC